rnacentral:rRNA from 1 species
AUUGAACGCUGGCGGCAGGCCUAACACAUGCAAGUCGAACGGUAACAGAAAGCAGCUUGCUGCUUUGCUGACGAGUGGCGGACGGGUGAGUAAUGUCUGGGAAACUGCCUGAUGGAGGGGGAUAACUACUGGAAACGGUAGCUAAUACCGCAUAACGUCGCAAGACCAAAGAGGGGGACCUUCGGGCCUCUUGCCAUCGGAUGUGCCCAGAUGGGAUUAGCUAGUAGGUGGGGUAACGGCUCACCUAGGCGACGAUCCCUAGCUGGUCUGAGAGGAUGACCAGCCACACUGGAACUGAGACACGGUCCAGACUCCUACGGGAGGCAGCAGUAGGGAAUAUUGCACAAUGGGCGCAAGCCUGAUGCAGCCAUGCCGCGUGUAUGAAGAAGGCCUUCGGGUUGUAAAGUACUUUCAGCGGGGAGGAAGGGAGUAAAGUUAAUACCUUUGCUCAUUGACGUUACCCGCAGAAGAAGCACCGGCUAACUCCGUG